rnacentral:rRNA from 1 species
CCUACGGGAGGCAGCAGUGAGGAAUAUUGGUCAAUGGCCGUAAGGCUGAACCAGCCAAGUCGCGUGAAGGAAGAAGGAUCUAUGGUUUGUAAACUUCUUUUAUAGGGGAAUAAAGGUAUCCACGUGUGGAUAUUUGCAUGUACCCUAUGAAUAAGCAUCGGCUAACUCCGUGCCAGCAGCCGCGGUAAUACGGAGGAUGCGAGCGUUAUCCGGAUUUAUUGGGUUCAAAGGGUGCGUAGGUUGUUUUUUAAGUCAGCGGUGAAAGUUUGUGGCUCAACCAUAAAAUUGCCGUUGAAACUGGAAGACGUGAGUGUGUUUGAGGUAGGCGGAAUGCGUGGUGUAGCGGUGAAAUGCAUAGAUAGCACGCAGAACUCCGAUUGCGAAGGCAGCUUACUAAGCCAUAACUGACACUGAAGCACGAAAGCGUGGGGAUCAAACAGGAUUAGAUACCCUAGUAGUC